GAUGAACGCUAGCGGCAGGCCUAACACAUGCAAGUCGAGCGGUAUUUGCUCAUCGGAACAGAGAGAGCGGCGCACGGGUGCGGAACACGCGUGCAACCUGCCUUUAUUUGGGUGAUAGCCAUUCGAAAGGAAGAUUAAUACCUCAUAAUAUAUUGAGUGGCAUCACUUGUUAUUGAAAACUCCGGUGGAUAGAGAUUGGCACGCGCAAGAUUAGAUAGUUGGUGAGGUAACGGCUCACCAAGUCAAUGAUCUUUAGGGGGCCUGCGAGGGUGACCCCCCACACGGGUACUGGGACACGGACCACUCAGCUACGGGACGGAGCAGUGCGGGAUACUGCAGAGGGGAAUAGUGCAUGAUGCGGGCAACCCGGGUGAAGGACGGCCGCCCUAGGGGUGGUGGCCUUCUUGUGGUUAGCGAUAAUCGGCCGCUCGUGAGAGUAGCUGACGGUACUUGACUAAUAAGCACCGGCUAACUCCGUG
rnacentral:rRNA from 1 species